rnacentral:sRNA from 1 species
GGAUGGGAGGGGUAUCUCCCUCACCCCUCCAUGUACAUUCUUCCUGAAUCUCCACAUUUGGUUGAAGAAUUCUACCUUCCCUGAUAGAAGAGGACCAUUGUUUUGUCAAGGGUAUAUGAAGAGCUGUGUUCCUCUUCUAAGACCUCCAAACAUCUCCCAAGAGCCUCUCAUGAUAGAAGUUCUUCUUUG